GGAUUCAGAAGGCUGAGGCAGGAAGGCUGCUGCAAGUUCUGAGCCAGCUUAGAGCUAUACAGUGAGUCCAGGUCCACGCUUGGAUGAGCAAGAAAGAAAAUCCCUGUCUCAAAUGUUAGUGAGAGUUGUUGUUUAAAAAGACUGGUUAAAAUAACCUUCAUUAUUCUUCUGACGUACAGAACACUAUUAAGUUACUCACAGUGUGAGCACCUGAGGUCUGUUUUUUGCUUGACUGGGCAAAGAGUUUCUAGUAAGUCAUUCAUCUCAUUAAGGGCAGCGCCUUCAUUAGGCUCUGGACAAAGGCUGCUUGGGCAGUCAGAGCAGAGGCCCAGACACCUAUGUCUACACAGGUGUCCAAGAAGAAGGGCUGACUGCUGGAGGACGCCCAGAUUUCAAGCUGGACACCUACAAAAGCAAGAGCAACACAGGCGCUGUUCCCCCUGUAGUUUAUACAGUGUUUGAAAGCCACACAAGGUUAGUGUUAGGUUUGAAAGGCUUGUAGUUCAUUGAUGGUGGGCCAGUGCACAGGGCUGGGCUGACCCAGAAGUCUGGUUAGACUAGGGCCUGCCAGGGUGGGCUUUAGGCGCUGUCCUAUCCCCACUAUGCCUCUCUUUACAAGCACACACUUAAACCCCCGUGGCAGGCGUGGGUUGGGUUGUGUCUUAUUGCAAAGCCAAGCAGAUCUAGUGCCCAUUCCACCUAGACCUCAUGUACAACCUCAUGUUCAGAUGGGUACUGUCCAAUGCCACACAUCAUUUUUCCUUCACACUUACUAACUUGCCAGAGCCUCAGACAUACUGUGUUCGUACCAUACACCUUUCCCACUCCUAGGUCCAAGCUCAAGGAGAUUUUGUGCUUUCUAGUGCUUGUUUUCUGCCUUAAUUUCACUUUUGUUUAAAGUGUAGAUACUGCUAUUUCCUUUUUAACAAGUCAAAUAGGUAAGGACCACACUCUGCCUUCUGGGUUCUAAAACUCCAGUCUGCCUAACAGCCAUGCUUGACAGCUGAGCAGACCACCCUGGUGCUGCCCAGGAGUAAGCAACGCUUGCCUUCACUCGCAUCUUCAACGAGCAGAGUCGGGCAUGCUUCAUGCUUCAGAGUAUUUCUGGGGAGUGGAAGCUGUCAGGGGGCUGGGCAAGGCAUAGCUCCGUGAGAGCUUCUGCCUGUGUGUGAGGGAGGCCCUGGGCUGCGUCCUCACCACCAAACAGUGUCACACUAGAGUUAGGCCACUGAAACCUUAGGACCAUUCUUGCUGUAAGCCAAAUGAACUACCACUAGGCUUAGGCCAAACCACAAAGCCAGACUGAAUUUUAGGGUAGCUUACUCUGCUGGAAGCACUGCCCCUUCAGAAUAUAAAAGGGAAACCCCACAGGUUGGUGGACCAAGAACAGACCUCAAUGGGAACAAAGGGCCACACCAUGGUCAAAUGAGACCCAAAGCCAGCGGCCUGCACACUCCUGCAUGCUGACAGUAGUAGCGGACACUGCAGUGUAACGGGGUUUCUCGUCAACUGCACGAAUGACUACAGACCCUAACAACUGUGUCACAACAGUCACAAUCCUCGCGCACUUUAGGGAUCCUCUUGCCUCAAAAUCAACUUGUAAUUUGACCAGAAUCUAAAUCUUUAAAUAAACCUCAUGUUUUGAAACUUAAAUUUCUGGGG
rnacentral:lncRNA from 1 species